CAANGUAUGCUUUGGAAACUGUUAGACUUGAGUGCAGAAGGGGAGAGUGGAAUUCCAUGUGUAGCGGUGAAAUGCGUAGAUAUAUGGAGGAACACCGGUGGCGAAAGCGGCUCUCUGGUCUGUCACUGACGCUGAGGCUCGAAAGCGUGGGUAGCGAACAGGAUUAGAUACCCUGGUAGUNCACGCCGUAAACGCUGAGUGCUAGGUGUUAGGUCCUUUCCGGGACUUAGUGCCGACGCUAACGCAUUAAGCANUCCGCCUGGGGAGUACGACCGCAAGGUUGAAACUCAAAGGAAUUGACGGGGGCCCGCACAAGCGGUGGAGCAUGUGGUUUAAUUCGAAGCAACGCGAAGAACCUUACCAGGUCUUGACAUCCCGAUGCCCGCUCUAGAGAUAGAGUUUUUCUUCGGAACAUCGGAGACAGGUGGUGCAUGGUUGUCGUCAGCUCGUGUCGUGAGAUGUUGGGUUAAGUCCCGCAACGAGCGCAACCCUUAUUGUUAGUUGCCAUCUUUAAGUUGGGCACUCUAGCGAGACUGCCGGUAAUAAACCGGAGGAAGGUGGGGAUGACGUCAAAUCAUCAUGCCCCUUAUGACCUGGGCUACACACGUGCUACAAUGGUUGGUACAACGAGUCGCAAGCCGGUGACGGCAAGCUAAUCUCUGAAAGCCAAUCUCAGUUCGGAUUGUAGGCUGCAACUCGCCUACAUGAAGUCGGAAUCGCUAGUAAUCGCGGAUCAGCACGCCGCGGUGAAUACGUUCCCGGGCCUUGUACACACCGCCCGUCACACCACGAGAGUUUGUAACACCCAA
rnacentral:rRNA from 1 species